AAAGUACUCCCUCCGUCCCAAAAUUCUUGUCUUAGAUUUGUCUAGAUACGGAUGUAUCAAGUCACAUUUUAGUAUUAGAUACAUCCGUAUCUUGACAAAUCUAAGACAAGAAAUUUGGGACAGAGGGAGUAGUUG
rnacentral:pre_miRNA from 1 species